rnacentral:lncRNA from 1 species
UUUUGGAGCCCUGAACUAUACAUAACUUUAUCCCAAUUCAAGGAUUUGCAUAAACAAGACACUAGUGAUAGUGCAAAUGUGCAACCAUUUCAAUCAUAUGUUGGAUCAACAGAUAAUUUAUUCGGUUAAACUCAUAGAACCCGCCCUAUUUAGAUAAAGCUAAAGGAGGAAGUAUGAUGGAACAUGACCUAGCCAGCAGAGGCGGAGCUAAAGAUGGUUAAGAAUAGCUAUUGUAUAUAUAAUUUAAAUACCAUUUAUAUAUAUGUAUGAAUAUUCUUAAAUACCUUUAAUAAAAUUUCGAAUAUGGAUUCAGCUAGGGAAAGGUGAACUUUUAUGGGUCGACUUUUUGCUGAUUAUUCUUUUAGCUUAAUUUGCUUUUCAAGGUUAAAAAAAUGUCAUCCAGCUGUAUCUUCAAUGUUAAAUAAAACAUCAUUCAAC